rnacentral:rRNA from 1 species
AGUGAACGCUGGCGGUAGGCCUAGCACAUGCAAGUCGAACGGCAGCACAGUAAGAGCUUGCUCUUACGGGUGGCGAGUGGCGGACGGGUGAGGAAUACAUCGGAAUCUACUUUUUCGUGGGGGAUAACGUAGGGAAACUUACGCUAAUACCGCAUACGACCUACGGGUGAAAGCAGGGGAUCUUCGGACCUUGCGCGAUUGAAUGAGCCGAUGUCGGAUUAGCUAGUUGGCGAGGUAAAGGCCCACCAAGGCGACGAUCCGUAGCUGGUCUGAGAGGAUGAUCAGCCACACUGGAACUGAGACACGGUCCAGACUCCUACGGGAGGCAGCAGUGGGGAAUAUUGGACAAUGGGCGCAAGCCUGAUCCAGCCAUACCGCGUGGGUGAAGAAGGCCUUCGGGUUGUAAAGCCCUUUUGUUGGGAAAGAAAAGCAGCAGGUUAAUACCCCGCUGUUCUGACGGUACCCAAAGAAUAAGCACCGGCUAACUUCGUG